AACGUAGGACACAAGCGUUAUCCGGAGUUACUGGGCGUAAAGGGCGUGUAGGCGGACCUAUAAGUCUAUUCUGAAAGCUCCUGGCUAAACUGGGAGAGGCGAAUGGAGACUGUAGAUCUAGAGUGAGGAAGAGGAAAGUGGAAUUCCGCGUGUAGUGGUGAAAUGCGUAGAUAUUGGGAAGAACACCAGUGGCGAAGGCGGCUCUCUGGACCGUAACUGACGCUGAGGCGCGAAAGCGUGGGGAGCAAACAGG
rnacentral:rRNA from 1 species